rnacentral:rRNA from 1 species
GACGAACGCUGGCGGCGUGCUUAACACAUGCAAGUCGAGCGAGCGGCGGACGGGUGAGUAAUGUCUGGGAAACUGCCUGAGGGAGGGGGAUAACUACGGGAAACGGUAGCUAAAACCGCAUACCAUCAGAUGUGCCCAGAUGGGAUGAGCUAGUAGGGGGGGUAAUGGCUCACCUAGGCGACGAUCCCUAGCUGGUCUGAGAGGAUGACCAGCCACCCUGGAACUGAGACACGGUCCAUACUCCUACGGGAGGCAGCAGUGGGGAAUAUUGCACAAUGGGCGCAAGCCUGAUGCAGCCAUGCCGCGUGUGUGAAGAAGGCCUUCGGGUUGUAAAGCACUUUCAGCUGGUAGGCGUUACUCGCAGAAGAAGCACCGGCUAACUCCGUGCCAGCAGCCGCGGUAAUAC